UUCAUUUUAUUCUUUAGCUUUAAGGUAACUACAAACACAUUGUUCAGGGAAGAGAAAAGGUACAUUUCAGCCUUCAGUCUGCAAUAACUUAGAGAAAAGGACCCAGA
rfam:Erinaceus europaeus cont1.200281, whole genome shotgun sequence.